rnacentral:rRNA from 1 species
GCGAACGCUGGCGGCAGGCCUAACACAUGCAAGUCGAACGGAUCCUUCGGGAUUAGUGGCGGACGGGUGAGUAACACGUGGGAACGUGCCCUUUGGUUCGGAACAACUCAGGGAAACUUGAGCUAAUACCGGAUGUGCCCUUCGGGGGAAAGAUUUAUCGCCAUUGGAGCGGCCCGCGUCUGAUUAGCUAGUUGGUGAGGUAACGGCCCACCAAGGCGACGAUCAGUAGCUGGUCUGAGAGGAUGAUCAGCCACACUGGGACUGAGACACGGCCCAGACUCCUACGGGAGGCAGCAGUGGGGAAUCCUGCGCAAUGGGCGAAAGCCUGACGCAGCCAUGCCGCGUGAAUGAUGAAGGUCUUAGGAUUGUAAAAUUCUUUCAGCGGGGACGAUAAUGACGGUACCCGCAGAAGAAGCUCCGGCUAACUUCGUG